CCUACGGGAGGCAGCAGUGGGUGAUAUUGUACAAUGGGGGAAACCCUGAUGCAGCGACGCCGCGUGGGUGAAGAAGCGCCUCGGCGCGUAAAGCCCUGUCAGCAGGGAAGAAAAUGACGGUACCUGAAGAAGAAGCCCCGGCUAACUACGUGCCAGCAGCCGCGGUAAUACGUAGGGGGCAAGCGUUAUCCGGAUUUACUGGGUGUAAAGGGGGCGCAGACGGCGAUGCAAGACAGGAGUGAAAGCCCGGGGCCCAACCCCGGGACUGCUCUUGGAACUGCGUGGCUAGAGUGCAGGAGGGGCAGGCGGAAUGCCUGGUGUAGCGGUGAAAUGCGUAGAGAUCAGGAGGAACACCGGUGGCGAAGGCGGCCUGCUGGACUGCAACUGACGUUGAGGCCCGAAAGCGUGGGGAGCAAACAGGAUUAGAUACCCUGGUAGUC
rnacentral:rRNA from 1 species